UAUGGCGACCGGCGCACGGGUGAGUAACACGUAUCCAACCUGCCGAUGACUCGGGGAUAGCCUUUCGAAAGAAAGAUUAAUACCCGAUGGCAUAGUUCUUCCGCAUGGUAGAACUAUUAAAGAAUUUCGGUCAUCGAUGGGGAUGCGUUCCAUUAGCUUGUUGGCGGGGUAACGGCCCACCAAGGCAUCGAUGGAUAGGGGUUCUGAGAGGAAGGUCCCCCACAUUGGAACUGAGACACGGUCCAAACUCCUACGGAAGGCAGCAG
rnacentral:rRNA from 1 species